UGUCUCUCGCAGCGUUACCAGCAAGCUCCAGAACCUGAAUACCAAAGAGUUCAUAGAUCAGAAAAUGAUUUUCCCGCUGUAAGCAAAUCAGAUCUGAGUGAAGAAAACUUACUUCUGCGGCGAGGUACUCGAGAACGGCGGCCAUGUAAACCGGAGCUCCACCGCCGAGCCUCUGUGCGUACCGUCCCUUCUUCAGGAAACGAGUGAUUCUCCCCACCGGAAACUGGAGACCGGCUUUGAUCGAUUUCGAGACGGAUUUGGUCUUGGGGCCACCCGCUUUCCUUCCUCCGAAAGCCUUCUUCACUUUUCCGGUGGUUUCCAUUGCGACAAAAUCGAUUAGACGUGUUAGAUUGAUGUUGUUGUUGUAGAGAGUGGUAUGAGAUUUGUGAUUUUUAGUUGGCGGUCGUGGGUGUGGUUUUAUAGUGACAAGGACAAAAGAAAGAAAGAAAGAUGAUUUGUAUUCGUUAGAUUUGAGUCUUAUCGACGGUACAGAAUAAAUGAGAUAGCGAUCCUCGUGACUAACGGAUUAGCCAAUCAGAAACGUCUCCAUGUUUUUUUCUGAAACGGCGCCAUUUUUAUUUUGUCUUCGUUUCGAAAGUUUUGCGCUUACACUACUACUUCUCUAGAGAUUUUGCAAUUUGCACUAAGAAAAAAUAAAAUAAAAUUAGCAACUAAAAACUAGAUAUUUAUAAAUUUCAUAUGAUUAUUUAGGAUAAUUCAAUGACACUUCGAAAUCUAUCAUAUGCUAAAUGAAGAACCUAUCCUGCUAUCCACCCACUGUAUCCACCUCACAAAAUAAAUUCCCUAGUUUUAUCCUAUACUAAAAAGAAACUAAGAUCAAUGCUCAGUCUAUCCACCUUAGAAAAUAAAUUCCUCCAAUCAAAUUCAACUAAAUUUAUCUUUCAUCUUUAUAACUGAAGUUAUCUCUUUGUUUUCUCGUACAAGCUUCCGUAUCUUUGUUUUUUGCUGUCGAAAAGCUUCAAAAUAAAUACAUUUUGAAUCAGCUCUAUUUUAACCCGUUGUAUUUUGAGGUGUUUUAAAUCUUUGUGCGCCAGUAAAAACUCUAUAUUCGUUAGGUAGGCGAAAGAAAGAUAAACUCGCUAUUAAAGUUGACAUCUGGGGGUGCUGGGACCGCAGACCGCACGGUACGGUAUUUCUUAUUGGUUUAGGAAAAUUUACCUUUUUAAAUAAAUAUGUAUAUCUAUAUGAAAAAAAUAUCAAAUUUUUUUAGCAUGCUAUAAAUACGAAUCUAAAGAUUAUAAAAUUAUUUAAUUCACAUAAUAAUAAGACAUCCUAAACUAGUAUUUGACUCAAUACAUUUUUGCUUUUUUUGCUUUCUUUGAAUUAAUUCGCGUUUGUUUACAACAUAAUUUUCCUCCUUUAAGGAACUAAUUCAAUUGUUUGAUUAGCCACACAAAAAUAUAUCAAACGCACAAACAUACCUUCAAAGGUCUCGAUAUAAGCCAUAUAGUCAAGUUGAAGAAAAAAUGUAGAUUUUGAUUAUGAGAAAAAUAUUUUGAGAUACUUAGUCUGAUUUGUAAUUUUCCAGAUUUAAAUCGUUCUCUUGCUGACAAAACAAUAAUCGUUCUCAAAUUAAAGCUCUGCUACUGAGAUCGAAGAAUUAUAUAUUGAAUUAUCCUCUGACGACACAGUGAGACUAGCAUGAUUCGUUACUAUCUUUGAGUUAGGUAAUGACAGUAGGUAUUUAGAGAUUUUAAUAUAGAUUGAAGUCUACCACUUCUUAAUGGUCAAAUCUCAAACAUAUAAUGUAAAACGAAACAAAAAAUCAGAAAAUGAUUAGCCGUAGAGCUGGGUUUUUGCUGUUAGAGUGCCUUUGGGAAUUGGGAACUGAAGAUUCCUUUCACCGGCUCCCACUCAUCUAUGAUCCCAGACCCAAAGAUUCAACAGAUUAUUCUAACCGAAGACGACGAGUUCUUGAUUUUGGCAUGUGAUGAUAUAUGGGAGGUAUUGUCAAGCCAAAAUGCAGUGAAUAACGUAAGGCAAGUACUGAGAAGGCAUGGUGCCCCCCCCCCCCCAUUCAAACGCAGAUUCAUGUAAGUAUACAUAAAUCAUUUCAUUAUUUAGAUAAAUAUUUAUUUGAAUCUCACUGUCUAGAUUUAUAUUUGGAAUUAUACAUGAAUUAGCAUCAUGCAAUGGAAAAUGCAAUGCGAGAUGUUCAAAGGCCGGAAGACAAGAUCGGUGUCUCAAGUAUUGCAAUAUAUGUUGCGAGAAGUGUGAUGAUCAUUGUGUUCCUUCAGGCACUUAUGGACACAAAGAUGAGUGUCCUUGUUACCGCGAUAUGAAGAACUCCAAAGGCCAACCCAAAUGUCCAUGAACAUGUCUUGUAGAUCAUUCUCUCAUAGACAUCAUAUCUUUUUUAUACACAUAAAUAUUUACAAUUGUUGUUGACACAUGAAAUAAUGAGUUUGAUAUAUUCCUAUGUAUGAUGAUGUGAAAGCUCUUGAUAAUAAACGAAAUCAUUUUAAUUAACUAAAUACUAGAGGUGAAGGUUGUGUACAUAUAUGUAUGAAGUAUACAUAUAGUAGGUUAAUCAAAACAAUCUAAAGUUUAUUACAGUGACAAGAUCGGAUUAAUAGUCAUGAUUCACGAACAAAAGAUAAUGGUGAAGAAGUUGCUUUAUCAAUCACAACAAACCUCAGCUAGAUGAUGGUAAAAAUAACAAAAAGACACAAGUCUCAUGAAGUGAAGAUAAAAUGUCUUAGAUAGAUAAUUGGCUCAAGAGAAGCAAGUUUUUCAUUGAAAAUUACUGUCUACUUUGUAUGUCUUCAGUAACUUUCGAGCAAAAACCGAAAACAAACAAAAUCAUCUAAGAUAAAAACAGAGAAACGUCUACAACCCUCUUAACUUUGAGCUCAAUCGAAUUCCUCAUCUCACCAAAAGGAGAAGCAAAAGUAUAGCCUUCUCAUGAAGUUGUUGCCUUUUCAGUAAAAGAAUCCAAGAACUUUUCCACCAACAUUCUUUCUCCUCGCCUCUUCGUGGUCCAUGAUACCGGCGGAGGUUGUAAGAACAAUGUAACCAAACUGCACAAUUACAACAAAAAUGAUGUCAGAUACAUCAAAACAGAGCAUAACUAAGCUAAGAUAAGUCAACAGCAACUGAAUUCACCAUUAUAUAUGAUAUAUAGAACAUGGGUUAUCCCUAGAUGCUCUCAUUUAGUCAUAUGACCCAAAUCAAAAACAUAGACCGCAAGAGUAAAGACAGACCUGUCUGGAAGGAAGAAGACGAGCGGUCCAACCUUCGAUCUCCUUAACUCCGACAUCGAAACGGGGACUGAUGACACCACAUUUGUUCAGUCUUCCAUUGAGCUCAACGACAAUCUUACCAGACCUGUGGUCAUCAACGUACUCGAACUCGCCAAUGUAACCUGCAAUUUCAAGAAAAAUUUAACAGCUGAGCCAAACAAAACAAAAGGAAAAUGAAUAUAUAAGUUAGAUACCGUGUUUCUGCAUGACAAUGAGAAACUUGAUGAUGACCUUAGACGAAGGCCUGAUCAUGACCUGCCUCUUGCCUCUCUUCUCCGCAUUGAACAUACUCUUCAGAGCAUCGUUAAGCACACUGAUUCUCACCAUCUUUCAAAGCUCGAACACUGGAAUCAAAAUCAAAAACAAUAAAUACAGAGCUUAAUAAAAAACUUAAUCGAUAAAACAAAAUAAGUAAUACACAACAACCAAACACAAUCACUUCGGACAUAAGAAAGACAUUUCAAUACAUCUAAGUGUAUGUGUGAUCCUAAUUAUCAAUCGAGCUCAAAAUUUCGAAACUAAGAGAAUCUUAGAAGAUAAUUUACAUGAUGCGAUCGAGCAGACACGAACACAGAUCGGAGAAUUGGUCUAACCUUGAAAUCGAAGUGGCAGCCGCACAAAACUCUCCUGCUAGAGACGAAGCAACAAAGUUGAACUAAAUCUAAAUGCAACUAGUGAACUAGGGUUUUUGGUUUUAUUGGUGAGACCUUUUGAGAGUGGGGUUAAUGGAUCUAGUCCAGGCUUAGUUUAAUGGGCCUACCACAAUUGGAUGUUAUUGGGCCUUUUGAAAAACCUCGCUCUUUACUAAUCCAAUUCUCUUCACUCACUCUUAACAAAGAUUGGUGUCGUAUGUAAACUCCGUUCUAUAAAAUGUAUUAAGAGUAUAACCAAGAUUGGUGUGUUUAUGCAAUUCAAAAAUGGUCGGAGCUUCGCAUUUGUCUGUUUUCAGGUUGUUAAUGAUUGAUUAAGAUUUGUAGAAGCUGAGAAGGAAGAACAAGCACCAACAACGAAUAUGAGGACAGUAACAAAUCUUAGAAGAGGACACACACAGUCGUUACAUAGACGACUUAAGACUCUUCACCAAAAAGAUUAUUGAGUUCUACACUGUUACAAAUGGAAAGAGUGAAUGCAGUUUCCCUGAGUUAUGGUGGUGCUUCACCAGCAUAUCUAAAGUUUCAGUUGCGUUGAGAAAUCUAGAAUUAAUUCGGAUUCUGAUCUAAACCUCCUUUAGGACGAGCAUAUUCAACUCUAAUCUGUCUGCCUUCGAGUAACUGAACAAAAGGCAGAACAACGGCAAGUCAGCACACUAACUUGACGUUGCAAAAAGGAUUUAUGUUUGACUCAGUUUAGUGUAACAAACCUGAUUGUUCAUGGAAGCUAAGGCACUUGCAGCUGCUUCUUCUGAAUCAAAUAGCACAAAUCCAUAGCCUUUUGACUUGCCGCUCACGUGAUCGCAUAUUACUCUCACUGUACUUUUCACAUUCAACCGAAACAAAACUCAGUAAAUGCCAUUUGUUUAUCCAUAGAGUAAAUUUUGCAAAUAAAACUAACAGAUUUAUUAUACCAUUUAUAACUUGACCGUAUUUUUCAGACUCAUUCUUCAAAACAGGUUCAUUUGUGUCGUAGUUAAGCCCUGCAGUGGUGUGUAUUUACACAUUCAGUGUUUCUCUCACGCAUAUAAUCGAACACUUAGAGUGCACUUUGUAUCAUGGGUUAGUAACUAAAACUAUUUUCUGUCCUAAGGCCAUACAGUUGUCUAAAACAACCAAAUGGGUCCAUUUACAAACAUAACGAUUAAAUACAUUAUUAAUCAGGAAGCGAUUAAAUAGAACAUCGACAGAUAUACCUCCAACGAAUAAUUUUGAAGAACAAGAACCUCGAGAUGCUAUACAUCGUAAUGGCGAUGCUAAAUAACAAACACGAUGAGAUAAUCUAGUAAGGAACAUUUGAUAGUGUCUUCGAACGAUUAGCUCAGCUAGGAAGAGAAACAGUGAGGUGACUAAACGAAAUAAAUUUUACUCACUCUGUUGCGGUAAGUUUUUUUUUUUUUUUGCGUUGGGUAACAAAAGUUGCGGUGCUUUUAGUCCAAAUGAUUUAUAAAUCGUUACUAGGAUAAAAUUGGAUCUGAAGAGAACUCAAAUCCAAAUUACAUAACUAAAAAAGUUUUCUACAUAGUCCGUCCCCUCACAAAGUAACCAAACACAUAACUAAACUGGUGAAUUCAAGUAACGUCGAGAUGAUUAAGCCUUCUUGGGAGAUUUGCCAGGCGACUUGGGUGCAGCAUCCUCGGACGACUUAGCAGACUUCUUAGGCAAAAGAACAGAGUUAAUGUUGGGCAAGACACCACCGUGAGCGAUCGUGACUCCACUGAGAAGCUUCCCCAGCUCUUCAUCGUUCCUAAUCGCCAAAAGAAGAUGCCUCGGGAUGAUUCUCGACUUCUUGUUGUCUCUCGCAGCGUUACCAGCAAGCUCCAGAACCUGAAUUACAAAUAGUUCAAAUCAGCAAAUGAUUGACACUGUAAGCAAAUCAGAUCUGAGUGAAGAAAACUUACUUCUGCGGCGAGGUACUCGAGAACGGCGGCCAUGUAAACCGGAGCUCCACCACCGAGCCUCUGUGCGUAACGUCCUUUCUUCAGGAAACGAGUGAUUCUUCCCACCGGGAAUUGGAGACCGGCUUUGAUCGAUUUCG
rnacentral:lncRNA from 1 species